rnacentral:rRNA from 1 species
GAUGAACGCUAGCGGGAGGCUUAACACAUGCAAGUCGAGGGGCACCGCGCCGCAAGGCGCGGGAGACCGGCAGACGGGUGCGUAACGCGUAUGCAACCUGCCUUAUGCAGGGGGAUAGCCCAUGGAAACGUGGAUUAGUACCCCAUAUUCUAUAAAUUCCGCAUGGUAUUUAUAGGAAAACUGAGGUGGCAUAAGAUGGGCAUGCGUCUGAUUAGCUAGAUGGCAGGGUAACGGCCUACCAUGGCGACGAUCAGUAGGGGUCCUGAGAGGGUUACCCCCCACACUGGAACUGAGACACGGGCCAGACUCCUACGGGAGGCAGCAGUGAGGAAUAUUGGGCAAUGGGCGGAAGCCUGACCCAGCCAUCCCGCGUGCAGGACGAAGGCCCUAUGGGUUGUAAACUGCUUUUCCUGGGGGAGAAACCCCCGCACGAGUGCGGGGCUGACGGUACCCAGGGAAUAAGCAUCGGCUAACUCCGUGCCAGCCGCCGCAGUAAUAC